GAUGAACGCUGGCGGCGUGCCUAACACAUGCAAGUCGAGCGGCAGCGAGGGGUGCUUGCACCCUGUCGGCGAGCGGCGGACGGCUGAGUAACGCGUGGGAACGUGCCCCAAAGUGGGGAAUAACUGCCCGAAAGGGUAGCUAAUACCGCAUAUUAUCUUCGGAUCAAAGGAUUUAUCCGCUUUGGGAGCGGCUCGCGUCGGAUUAGGUAGUUGGUGAGGUAAUGGCUCACCAAGCCGACGAUCCGUAGCUGGUCUGAGAGGAUGACCAGCCAGACUGGAACUGAGACACGGUCCAGACUCCUACGGGAGGCAGCAGUGAGGAAUCUUCCACAAUGGGCGAAAGCCUGAUGGAGCAACGCCGCGUGCAGGACGAAGGCCUUCGGGUUGUAAACUGCUUUUAUAAGUGAGGAAUAUGACGGUAACUUAUGAAUAAGGAUCGGCUAACUACGUG
rnacentral:rRNA from 1 species